GUUCCUUGUGAUGUUUGUAAGUCUGAUGACCAUGCUAAUUCUGAUCAAUCUGUGAUUGAAUUCUUAUUUGCUUGUUUUUCUGAGGGAACA